rnacentral:lncRNA from 1 species
CAGGACUCAAACUGGACUAGGUCCACAAUGCUGGUAGUGAUGCUCACAGGACUGGGAGGUCGGGACUCAAGAAUAACGGGACAAACAGGAUUACUGGGCCUCACUUUUCUCCUAGUGGUGCUCCGAGGGUUGCUCGGCCUCCCCUCAGGUCUGGAAGGCUGUACAUAAGACUGGACCAGGCCAACGGGGCUAACAGGCCGUCUAUUGGGGCAUUGAGGGUUGCUUGGCCUCCCCUCAGGUCUGGAAGGCUGUACGUCAGGCUGGACCAGGCCAACGGGGCUAACAGGCCGUCUAGUGGGGCGUCGAGAGUUGCUCGGCCUCCCCUCAGGUCUGGAAGGCUGUACGUCAGGCUGGACCAGGACAACUGGGCUAACAGGCCGUCUAGUGGGGCGCCGAGAGUUGCUUGGCCUCCCCUCAGGUCUGGAAGGCUGUACGUCAGGCUGGACCAGGACAACUGGUCUAACAGGCCGUCUUGUGGGGCGUCGAGGGUUGCUAGGCCUCCCCUCAGGUCUAGUGAUGCUGACAGGGAUUCUAGGAAUCAUCAUCUCAUGCUGGUGCAGGCUCUCUGGGCUGCUGGGCCGGGAAUCAGGUAGAAGCUUGUAGUUCUUCAG